UAGGGAAUAUUGGUAAUCUGGGAAACCGGGAACCAGCAACGCCGCGUGCGGGAUGACGGCCUUCGGGUUGUAAACCGCUUUUGAUCGGGAGAAAGCCUUCGGGUGAGUGUACCUUUCGAAUAAGCACCGUCUAACUACGUGCCAGCAGCCGCGGUAAUACGUAGGGUGCAAGCGUUAUCCGGAAUUAUUGGGCGUAAAGGGCUCGUAGGCGGUUCGUCGCGUCCGGUGUGAAAGUCCAUCGCGUAACGGUGGAUCUGCGCCGGGUACGGGCUGGCUGGAGUGCGGUAGGGGAGACUGGAAUUCCCGGUGUAACGGUGGAAUGUGUAGAUAUCGGGAAGAACACCAAUGGCGAAGGCAGGUCUCUGGGCCGUUACUGACGCUGAGGAGCGAAAGCGUGGGGAGCGAACA
rnacentral:rRNA from 1 species